rnacentral:rRNA from 1 species
AUUGAACGCUGGCGGAAUGCUUUACACAUGCAAGUCGAACGGCAGCACGGACUUCGGUCUGGUGGCGAGUGGCGAACGAGUGAGUAAUAUACCGGAACGUGCCCAGUCGUGGGGGAUAACGUAGCGAAAGCUACGCUAAUACCGCAUACGAUCUACGGAUGAAAGCGGGGGAUCGCAAGACCUCGCGCGAUUGGGGCGGCCGAUAUCAGAUUAGGUAGUUGGUGAGGUAAAGGCUCACCAAGCCGACGAUCUGUAGCUGGUCUGAGAGGACGACCAGCCACACUGGGACUGAGACACGGCCCAGACUCCUACGGGAGGCAGCAGUGGGGAAUUUUGGACAAUGGACGCAAGUCUGAUCCAGCCAUUCCGCGUGCAGGACGAAGGCCUUCGGGUUGUAAACUGCUUUUGUACAGAACGAAAAGGUCUCUAUUAAUACUAGGGGCUCACGACGGUACUGUAAGAAUAAGCACCGGCUAACUACGUGCCAGCCGCCGCGGUAA